CUACGGGAGGCUCCAGUGGGGAAUAUUGGACAAUGGGGGAAACCCUGAUCCAGCAAUGCCGCGUGAAUGAAGAAGGCCUUAGGGUUGUAAAGUUCUUUCACCUGUGAAGAUAAUGACGGUAGCAGGAGAAGAAGCUCCGGCUAACUCCGUGCCAGCAGCCGCGGUAAGACGGAGGGAGCUAGCGUGGUUCGGAAUGACUGGGCGUAAAGGGCGCGUAGGCGGUUUUUUAAGUGAGGCGUGAAAGCCCUGGGCUUAACCCAGGAGGUGCGUUUCAUACUGGAAGACUUGAGUGCGAGAGAGGAAAGUGGAAUUCCUAGUGUAGAGGUGAAAUUCGUAGAUAUUAGGAAGAACACCUGUGGCGAAGGCGGCUUUCUGGCUCGCAACUGACGCUGAGGCGCGAAAGCGUGGGGAGCAAACAGGAUUAGAUACCCCGGUAGUC
rnacentral:rRNA from 1 species